rnacentral:lncRNA from 10 species
CCACUGUGGCCCACCCCCUACAACAGCACCAAGUCUGUUUUCAGGCAGUGGGCGAACAGGGCUGAGAACUUGCCCCAGGCUACCCACUUACCAGCUGCAAAACCAAGUAGGACGUUUGUUCUUCCCAGGCCUGUGGAGUCUGCACACUGAAUUCAUAUCUUUCUCCAAGUCCUGGCCAGGAGACUUCUCAAUCAGUUCAAACUGUUACAAAGUUCAGCUAGAGGUUUCCUGCUCCCUGUGGCCUUUUUCCAGUGCCUCUGACUGCCCCCCGCCCCAAGGACCCUGUGAGGCAGGGCAGAAAUGGCUUGCCAGGGGACCCAGUGAGUCCACAGGGCUUUUCCCGCUGCUUCCUCUACCCUGUAUUUUGUUUGGCUCUCUAAAUUGAUUCAACUCCAGACAGUGAGAUGGGAAAACUGAAUUCCAGACCUAACUGUCACCAACGGGACCAAU